rnacentral:rRNA from 1 species
GACGAACGCUGGCGGCGUGCUUAACACAUGCAAGUCGAACGGAAAGGCCCUGCUUUUGUGGGGUGCUCGAGUGGCGAACGGGUGAGUAACACGUGAGUAACCUGCCCUUGACUUUGGGAUAACUUCAGGAAACUGGGGCUAAUACCGGAUAGGAGCUCCUGCUGCAUGGUGGGGGGUGGAAAGUUUCGGCGGGUGGGGAUGGACUCGCGGCUUAUCAGCUUGUUGGUUGGGUAGUGGCUUACCAACGCAUUGACGGGUAGCCGGCCUGGGAGGGUGACCGGCGACAAUGGGCCUGAGAGACGGCCCAGUCUGCUACGUGCGGCAAUGGUGGGGAAUCUUACACAGUGGGCCCGCGCCUGAUGCAGAGGCGCUGCGUGCGGGAUGACGUCUUUCUGGUUAAAAACCGCUUCCGCCUUAGACGAAGCUUGAGUGACGGUAACGAGUAAAGAAGCACCGGCUAACUACGUG